UUCAGUUACAGCCUUUCCCCUCUUUCUGCAUGAGCAAAUCCUCCCCGUUCAACCCUUCUUCCAGCCUUCCCAGGUCAGGACGGAAGUCUACCAGUCCCACUCAGCACAGGGUGCUAAGACUCAGUCCUCAGGCAGCGCUUUUCUUGGGUCAAAGCAAGGUCAGCUCUGGAUCUGUCAGCUGAAAGAAGCUGCACCCUAAAAAAACAAAACGAAGGCUGGAGAGAUGGCACAGCUGGUUAAGGUGCUUGCCACCAACCCUGACAACCUGAGCUCUGCCCCCAGGAACUCCACAUGCAUGCUGUGACAUGCUUGUGCCCAUCCCCACCGGUAAACACAUAAGUGUAAUACAGAGUUUUUAAAAAUCCCA